UACGUAGGGUGCGAGCGUUAAUCGGAAUUACUGGGCGUAAAGCGUGCGCAGGCGGUCUGUUAAGACCGAUGUGAAAUCCCCGGGCUUAACCUGGGAACUGCAUUGGUGACUGGCACGCUUUGAGUGUGGCAGAGGGAGGUAGAAUUCCACGUGUAGCAGUGAAAUGCGUAGAGAUGUGGAGGAAUACCGAUGGCGAAGGCAGCCUCCUGGGCCAACACUGACGCUCAUGCACGAAAGCGUGGGGAGCAAACAGG
rnacentral:rRNA from 1 species